rnacentral:lncRNA from 1 species
GGGAUAUUUAAAUUAUUUUCAAAAGUUCAAGUUUCUGACAUUUGCAUGAUGGUCCUUCAAGAUAUUCAAGAUAGAAUUGAAUUUGGAUCCUCUAAGAUAAUAAAUGAUUGCUUUAACAGGAUAAACAAUCAGGAUAAAAUACUGAGUCUUACACAUAGUUCUGGAGCUCCAUCCUUUAAUAUUCUGGUUGAUUCCACCAUGGAUGUUAGUCACUGGGGAGCUUUAAAAAUGGCCAUUGCCAAAAAUAUUUCAUGUGAUUUAGUGCAUUAAUUCAAACUAAUUUAACUAAGUUUCUGUUAAAAAUAAAUAAUUUUUUUAACAUUCUUGACAAUUAUUGGUUGAUUAUUAUAUAAUGGAAUUCACUCCAGACCCAACUGUAAAUUGUUUACAUCUCUG